rnacentral:tRNA from 1 species
GUGGGUAUAGCUCAGUGGUAGAGCUUAUGUUUAACAUGCACAAGGUCCUGGGUCCAAUCCCCAGUACCUCCA